UACGUAGGGUGCGAGCGUUUGUCCGGAAUUAUUGGGCGUAAAGAGCUCGUAGGCGGCUUGUCGCGUCGGAUGUGAAAGCCCGGGGCUUAACCCCGGGUCUGCAUUCGAUACGGGCAGGCUAGAGUGUGGUAGGGGAGAUCGAAUUCCUGGUGUAGCGGUGAAAUGCGCAGAUAUCAGGAGGAACACCGGUGGCGAAGGCGGAUCUCUGGGCCAUUACUGACGCUGAGGAGCGAAAGCGUGGGGAGCGAACAGG
rnacentral:rRNA from 1 species